CUUGGGUACUCGAGUGGCGAACGGGUGAGUAACACGUGGGUGAUCUGCCCUGCACUUCGGGAUAAGCCUGGGAAACUGGGUCUAAUACCGGAUAGGACCACAUUUUGGAUGGUGUGGUGGAAAGUUUUUCGGUGUGGGAUGAGCUCGCGGCCUAUCAGCUUGUUGGUGGGGUAAUGGCCUACCAAGGCGUCGACGGGUAGCCGGCCUGAGAGGGUGUACGGCCACAUUGGAACUGAGAUACGGCCCAG
rnacentral:rRNA from 1 species